AUCUCGCUGACAAGUCCCAAAUAGGAUGAAACUCGCGUCUUGGAU
rfam:Schistosoma mansoni, Puerto Rico, WGS project CABG01000000 data, contig: 0252